AUCUUCGGAUCUAGUGGCGCACGGGUGCGUAACGCGUGGGAAUCUGCCCUUGGGUUCGGAAUAACGUCGGGAAACUGACGCUAAUACCGGAUGAUGACGAAAGUCCAAAGAUUUAUCGCCCAGGGAUGAGCCCGCGUAGGAUUAGCUAGUUGGUGAGGUAAAGGCUCACCAAGGCUACGAUCCUUAGCUGGUCUGAGAGGAUGAUCAGCCACACUGGGACUGAGACACGGCCCAGACUCCUACGGGAGGCAGCAGUAGGGAAUAUUGGACAAUGGGGGCAACCCUGAUCCAGCAAUGCCGCGUGAGUGAUGAAGGCCUUAGGGUUGUAAAGCUCUUUUACCCGAGAUGAUAAUGACAGUAUCGGGAGAAUAAGCUCCGGCUAACUCCGUGCCAGCAGCCGCGGUAAUACGGAGGGAGCUAGCGUUGUUCGGAAUUACUGGGCGUAAAGCGCACGUAGGCGGCGAUUUAAGUCAGAGGUGAAAGCCCGGGGCUCAACCCCGGAACUGCCUUUGAGACUGGAUUGCUUGAAUCCU
rnacentral:rRNA from 1 species